UAUAGUUUUAUCUCAACACACAAGUACUACUUACUUCCAUCCCACUGGGCAGGAGGUAACGAGUGAGAAUGACUGAGCAGUGCCAAGGUACCCCCCGGGUUAAACCACAACAGAUAGUUACUGGCCUCUGGUCUUUGGGGAUUUUGUCUGUCUGCUGGCUGCCUCGGGCUAUUAACCUUCCAAAACAUUCACCUCGGAGGCUAAACUUCGCAGUACUUCAGCUUCAAUUCUGAGAAAUGUCUCUAUUCCACAACAACAUGAUAAGUGAGAGUGAAUUAAGUCCCUUGUGCACCAAAUGCAGGUUUGAGCAAUACCUCUUCAUCCAUCUUUAAAUAACAAGAGAAUGGCAAUAAGAGACGUGAUCUGACUGAACUUCUCUCUAUGAAAGCAUUUUAAAUUAUUGCUUUUCGCCCACAGUAUUUUAUGAGGAUUUGCAAAAUGCAGCAGAAAUUUGGAGGAACUGACAACAGACCUCUCCGAAAGAAACCAGUAGGACUAUUUGCAAGCUGCUUCGGAGUCCCACAUCAACACUCACUUAUGUCUUGAAAAUGGACGUCAAAUUGUGAAGAAAUACAUCUUAGAACAGGCCAAAUAAACUGGUUAGAUAACCCGAAAUGAAGCAUGAAACAACAUUUAAAUGAUGUGUGACUUCAUUCUUGCCUGAAGCCAUCCCUAAACCUAGGCUGGUGUAUCCAGACUCAUGGGAGAUGUCAUUGGCGCUGAUGACCCCAAAGAGAGAAGAAUUCCCCCGCAAACCAUGUUACUCUGGUAAGGAAUGACCUUGUAGCCCAUUAGCCCAGUCAGGUAGUAAAACAGUGACAGUUUCUAGUCACACAUAUUUGGAGACUGGGCUGAGUUUCAUGAACUUUAGUCCAUUGGAAUUUUGCAUUGUUUGUACAUAUUAUUAGCGAAUAAAAGCUGUUUUUUCUGUAGAUUAUUUAAGAAAAACAGUCAGAUUCUCUGAUGGAAAACUACUAGAACUCUGAACGUUGUAGUAAUAGAUGGGGAAAAAAUUCUUUGCUCUCCAGUAAAAUAUCUAGCUUACUGGAAGCAGGCAAAAUUUGAAGGCUUUAAGAUAUGCUUGUUAUUUAUUCUCUUUGUGGUUGGAUUAAGAAACUGAAAAAUUAAUCUUCUGUCAGCGUUAGUACCCUCUUAAAGCUAAAAUUUAAGUUAGUAAUAAUAACAGACUUUCAUGUAAUGAUGUGGGGGUUAAAGAAACCAAAUUAAUAAGCUAGGCUUUUAUGGUAUAUUAGCCAAUUUCUGGUUUUGACUAGUUGAAGUAAUUGUUCAAACCCACUGUUGGAUUUUUGUAACUCUUCUGAUGGUUUGGAAAUUAGAGUCACUUAUUUUUUAAGAGGCAGUAAGAAAAACAUGUAAUUAGUAUUACAGUGGGAAGCAUAACCUGUGAUCCUGUUGUACUUACUUUUAGUCUGAACAAACUUCCAUUAUUAUAAUGGAAAUGAAAAAUGUUUGAAUCAAUAAAGGAUGCUGCAGUGUUACCUAGCAGAAUUCAGGAAGCACAGCUGAGGAUAAAAAAUAUCUAUAGGCUGCCAUGUAGUAGUUACAAAUCCACCUUGUGAAGUCUUCACCUUUGUACUUUUUCUUUCUUCUAUCUGAAAAGUAGGCUUAGUCAGGGUAUUGAUUUGUUUUUACUGCAGUUUUUAAACUGUUACAGUAGUUGUGACUCCUAGAUACCAUCACCUUGACAGCACUUGUAGGCUUGAAUCACAGCUACCUGCUAUGUUUGGAAAAGUCCUUAGGUUAUGAAGGCCCUGCUAGAUCAUAACCAAGGUUAUCUUACUACUUUGAAACACAGCGGUAUACAUCAAUGGAGUAUACAGCAAAUGUGAACUUUAAUAAUAGUUUCUGAUUUAAGCAGUAGUGGUUUUAAGCUGGCAACACAAUAAAAUGAAGACAGGGGUUGUGAAGUGCAAUUAUUUAUCAGUGUGGAUUAAGAAAGACACGGAAGGGUCCAUGGAUUUACCAAAUUAUGAGAUGGCUAAUCAAUUCACACUCGUUCUUUCAUCCAUUUUAGUGAGUUAAAUACCACAGUUGUCCUUUGUAGUUGCAGAUGGCUCCUCUGCUGCACAGACAGCCUGGUAUAUUUCUACAGGACAGAAAAGGGACAAUGGCCACAUGGGUAUACGUGGCCAGUGGAGUGCACAAAGGUUAAUUUUUUGCUCACACAGUAGUAAUGACCAGUAAUAUAUGUCAUAAAGUCUAAUUUUAGAAUAAAUGUAAUGAUACGCAUGCAAAAAGUGAACAGGUUUUUUUAUUCUAGUAACUGAGCUAUUGAAUAAGAGUCAUGCCUUUUCGUACUAUAUAAUGAAGCUUCCUGCCUCAUGUUUCCCAUCUUGAAAUGCCCAUAUUAUUUUUUGACAUCCAAAGAUGGGUAAAAACACUCUAUUGAUUAUGCAAGUUUUCUUCCAGGACACUAUUUCUAACUUAAAAUGGUUGCCUUCUUUCAUGCCUUUUUUCUUUUUUAAAAAUAAUCAUUAUUUCUUGUUUCGAAUAUUUAUGUCAGAUUAUUCUCUCAGCCCAGUCUCCUAAGUUCUUCGUCCGGCAUGGUGGUGGCUGCCAUACCGCACUUGGUCAAAGUUCAGAGACGUUACAUAAUUCUCAUAAAUGCUUCUCAUCAGUCAAAAUGUUCUGGUGCUUAAACAUUUGCAUUGCUUCUUUUUUUCCCCCUAAGCUCAAUAUCUCACCAUCUAUCGUUACCCUUCAUUUAUAGCUUGUCAGACAAUUUUAAAUCCACGAGACAGUGCUCAUUUCAAACUCUUCCGAGACUAAUUUUUCAAGUAUGAUGUCAUAGUUUAAUAAUUUUGUAAUUUUGCUAUCAGUAUUCCACAUCAUAA